rnacentral:misc_RNA from 1 species
GAUGAAGAACGCAGCGAAAUGCGAUAAGUAAUGUGAAUUGCAGAAUUCAGUGAAUCAUCGAAUCUUUGAACGCACAUUGCGCCCCCUGGUAUUCCGGGGGGCAUGCCUGUCCGAGCGUCAUUACAACCCUCAAGCUCAGCUUGGUGUUGGGCCCCGCCGCCCCGGCGGGCCCUAAAGUCAGUGGCGGUGCCGUCCGGCUCCGAGCGUAGUAAUUCCUCUCGCUCUGGAGGUCCGGUCGUGUGCUCGCCAGCAACCCCCAAUUUUUUUCAGGUUGACCUCGGAUCAGGUAGGGAUACCCGCUGAACUUAAGCAUAUCAAUAAGCGGAGGA